AUAAUGAAAGAAGUCCUGACUGAUUAGUGCAUACCUCUCUUUGAGGAAGUCAAGUCAGACAAUGUUAUUGUCCCAUAGAACUAAACUUAGAGAAAUAAUAAAUGGAGAUCUCUAAAUUGGUAUUUUAAUGGAACAAUAUGGCAGUAGUAAAAUUAACUUCACUGCACUCAGGUAUAGGAAAUAGAUACAAUUUAGCAACAGAGUUAUUCACUGUGUUACUUAUUCAGUGAUUUGUUUCUUGCCAAAAUGAACGCAGAAACCAAAGGGUGUCUCUGUCUGCUAAUUGAAUUAGGGUAUCUGUUAGUAUAGUAAGGAAUUUAGUAAUACCUCUGUGAAUAUGAAUCUGACUCCCAUACUCCCUAAUUUGAUGUACAAGGAUGAAAAAAGGAUAGUUUAUCCCAAUAAUUCAGUGGGGUCUGAUCUUUAACAAAUUGUAUAGAGGGAGAAAUUCACUAAACUGUUUGACUAAAAUAGAGACAACCUAAAUGGGGAUGCUAGGAAAUGAUUCAACAUCUAAAUAGAAUAAAAUAGAAAGUAAUGCUGUCUAGAGAGGACGGGAUAAGAAUGGAGCUGUUAAAGUAGUAGAGUUCACAGUAAGGAGAGAAUAGAUCUAUCAAUAUAACACAUGAUAAUGAUAAUAUGCUUUGGAUUAGUAACAGAGAAAUCACCCAAUCUGAUGAUCAUCCAUCUAAGCUUCACAAGUGCAUAGUCUAU